UACGGAGGGUGCAAGCGUUGUUCGGAAUUACUGGGCGUAAAGCGCGCGUAGGCGGUUUGUUAAGUCAGAUGUGAAAGCCCAUGGCUCAACCAUGGACGUGCAUUUGAAACUGGCAGCCUGGAGGUCUGGAGAGGUGAGUGGAAUUCCGAGUGUAGAGGUGAAAUUCGUAGAUAUUCGGAGGAACACCAGUGGCGAAGGCGACCACCUGGCCAAAUACUGACGCUGAGGUGCGAAAGCGUGGGGAGCAAACAGG
rnacentral:rRNA from 1 species